UACAUUUGCAAUGAAUUUGGUUUCCGCAUUAGCGGAAUUAAAAGGGAAGUCCGGUGUAAAUCCGGCGCUAUCCCCGUAGCUGUAAAGCCGCUGCCACAGGCAACUUUAGCGUAACUACAACCACUGUUUUGAUGCACUCAAAAUGGGAAGGAGCGCAAAGGCGGUAAGCCAGAAGACCUGCCAGUUUCAUUUCUAUUCA
rnacentral:ncRNA from 2 species